UACGGAGGAUGCAAGCGUUAUCCGGAUUUAUUAGGUUUAAAGGGUGUGUAGGCGGAAGAUUAAGUCAGUGGUGAAAUCUCACAGCUUAACUGUGAAACUGCCAUUGAUACUGGUUUUCUUGAGUAUAGUUGAAGUAGGCGGAAUGUGUAAUGUAGCGGUGAAAUGCUUAGAUAUUACACAGAACACCGAUUGCGAAGGCAGCUUACUAAGCUAUUACUGACGCUGAUGCACGAAAGCGUGGGGAGCGAACAGG
rnacentral:rRNA from 1 species